rnacentral:rRNA from 1 species
AUACGGAGGAUGCGAGCGUUAUCCGGAUUUAUUGGGUUUAAAGGGUGCGUAGGUGGUGAUUUAAGUCAGCGGUGAAAGUUUGUGGCUCAACCAUAAAAUUGCCGUUGAAACUGGAUUACUUGAGUAUAUUUGAGGUAGGCGGAAUGCGUGGUGUAGCGGUGAAAUGCAUAGAUAUCACGCAGAACUCCAAUUGCGAAGGCAGCUUACUAAACUAUAACUGACACUGAAGCACGAAAGCGUGGGUAUCAAACAGGAUUAGAUACCCUGGUAGUCCACGCAGUAAACGAUGAUUACUAGGAGUUUGCGAUACACAGUAAGCUCUACAGCGAAAGCGUUAAGUAAUCCACCUGGGGAGUACGCCGGCAACGGUGAA